rnacentral:rRNA from 1 species
AUGAGUGACUUGGGGCUCCUCUCCUUCUAUCUAGGGAUUGAGCUCACUCCGAUGGAGGAGAGGCUGAAACUGAGCCGCGACAGCACGACGGAGGAAGUGGAUGCUACGCAGUACCGACGCCUUGUGGGGAGCCUUCGCUACCUCACUCACACACGGCCGGACUUGGCAUUCUCCGUCGGCUAUGUCAGUCGGUUCAUGGAGCGACCAACGUCGGAACACCAGCAGGCAGUGAAGAGGAUCGUCCGCUACAUAGCAGGGACCCUCGACCACGGCCUCCACUACCCUAGGUGUCCUGGGGCGGCACACUUCGUCGGGUACAGCGACAGCGACCACGCCGGCGACAUCGACACCAGCAAGAGCACGAGCGGGAUCCUCCUCUUCCUCGGCAAGUGUCUCGUGAGCUGGCAAUCAGUCAAGCAGCAGGUGGUGGCCCUGUCCAGCUGUGAGGCUGAGUACAUAGCGGCCUCCACCGCCUGUACUCAGGCGCUCUUGCUUGCUCGACUGCUUGGUGAUCUUCUCGUUCAAGACACCAGAACGGUGCAGCUCCUGGUGGACAGCAAGUCCGCCCUGGCCCUGGCAAAGAACCCCGUGUUCCACAAACGGAGCAAGCACAUCCGACUGAGGUAUCACUUCAUCCGCAGCUGUGUGGAAGAAGGGAGCAUCGAGGCGAGCUACAUCAACACCAAGGAUCAGCUCGCAGACCUGCUCACCAAGCCCCUUGGGAGGGUCAAGUUCCUCGAACUUUGCUCCAGGAUUGGGAUGAUUCAACUCUCCCACAAGACGACGUACAAGACUUAG